rnacentral:lncRNA from 1 species
AUGGGGAGAAGGGUGGGCAAAGAGCAUCUCCGAGAUGGGAGGCCAGAGGGAACUCUGGGUUCCUUUCUCCAGCCAGUAGGGCAGGAUGUUUUGAGGGGGUACCCCACUAAGCCCGCUGCGGGUAGGGCUACGGGGGGUGUGGGGGCAGAUGCUCACUUUUCACCAAGUCUCUGGGUUCCUGCGGGAAGAGGGCGGGGGGGGGGGUUGGCCAGGGGGUGCCGCGCGGGAGCGAAGGCGGGGAUCCCGGCAGCCCGAGGGGCGCGGUCCCCACAUGCACCCGCUCCCAAAGGGAAGACGAGCACGUCCUGCGCGCCCCCGUCCCGAGGCCUCCAGGCGUCCUCCUCGCCACGAGGCCCCCUCCCCCGGCCAGAAUUUGACGCGAGCGCCGAUUUUGGUGCAAUGCGAAUUAGCUCCAGCCGCCCGGUCGGGAGGGACCGGCAGGCUCCGGGAGCUCCGGGAGCUCCGGCACCGCGGGGCCGAGUCAACGCCCACCUCCGCCCGCAUCCCCCCCCGCCGCCUCCCGUCGCCAUAGCAACCGGCCCCCGCCCGCCCCGCCCGCCCCGGGACGCCCCGGCCGCGGCCCCCGCCCCGCCCCCACCUCGGAGGCCCGCAGCCUCGCGCCCCCGCCCCCACCCCGCGGCCGCCGAGCGCUACGGAGAGGCGCCCCCUCCCGCCGCCCGGGGGAAAGCCCUCGCGCCCCCGGGCCUCGAGCGCACAGCCAGCAAGGCUCCCGGGGGGCUGGGGCCUCCCGCGCGCGCCCCGGGCGCCCCGCACCUGCCGGGCGCCCCGCACCUGCCCUCGCCUGGGCUCCGGGGCGCGCCGCGGUCGGUCGCCGCGGCCGGUGCACGGCGCUCCCGGGGCGCAGGACAUCCCCGAAGGCGGGAGGCGGCCGGGGCGCGCGGGGAGGGCGGGGAGCCCGCGGGAGGAGGGGGCGGAGGGGGCGGAGGCGGAGGAGGGGAGCGGGGCGGGCGGCGCGGAGGGCGGAGAAGGGAGGCAAGAAAGUAG